CGGGUAAUGGAGCUGCCGUGCCGGACCGGGAAAUAGCAGUUUUGAACGCCGAAAUCAUUCGGACUCGCGGCGAUGCCGUAUUUGUACAACGGAUUCUCUUUGCAUUGCAUGAAUGUCAUUUCAAUACGAACGUCACAAUCUGGCUUCGGCGGUUUCCCGUAAGGACCGAUUAUCGGAAACCAAUCACUGAUUUUUUCACCCGAAAUGAUCUUCUCAACCGGAACGGUUGCAACAC
rnacentral:misc_RNA from 1 species